rnacentral:rRNA from 1 species
CUCUGUGACUCCUACGGGAGGCAGCAGUGGGAAUAUUGCACAAUGGGGGAAACCCUGAUGCAGCCAUGCCGCGUGUGUGAAGAAGGCCUUCGGGUUGUAAAGCACUUUCAGUAGGGAGGAAGGUAGUGUAGUUAACACCUGCAUUAUUUGACGUUACCUACAGAAGAAGCACCGGCUAACUCCGUGCCAGCAGCCGCGGUAAUACGGAGGGUGCGAGCGUUAAUCGGAAUUACUGGGCGUAAAGCGCAUGCAGGCGGCCUGUUAAGUCAGAUGUGAAAGCCCGGGGCUUAACCUCGGAAUUGCAUUUGAAACUGGCAGGCUAGAGUCUUGUAGAGGGGGUAGAAUUUCAGGUGUAGCGGUGAAAUGCGUAGAGAUCUGAAGGAAUACCAGUGGCGAAGGCGGCCCCCUCGGACAAAGACUGACGCUCAGAUGCGAAAGCGUGGGGAGCAAACAGGAUUAGAUACCCUGGUAG